rnacentral:rRNA from 1 species
AGUCGAACGGGAUCCAUCAAGCUUGCUUGGUGGUGAGAGUGGCGAACGGGUGAGUAAUGCGUGACCGACCUGCCCCAUGCUCCGGAAUAGCUCCUGGAAACGGGUGGUAAUGCCGGAUGUUCCACAUGAUCGCAUGUGAUUGUGGGAAAGAUUCUAUCGGCGUGGGAUGGGGUCGCGUCCUAUCAGCUUGUUGGUGAGGUAACGGCUCACCAAGGCUUCGACGGGUAGCCGGCCUGAGAGGGCGACCGGCCACAUUGGGACUGAGAUACGGCCCAGACUCCUACGGGAGGCAGCAGUGGGGAAUAUUGCACAAUGGGCGCAAGCCUGAUGCAGCGACGCCGCGUGAGGGAUGGAGGCCUUCGGGUUGUAAACCUCUUUUGUUUGGGAGCAAGCCUUCGGGUGAGUGUACCUUUCGAAUAAGCGCCGGCUAACUACGUGCCAGCAGCCGCGGUAAUACGUAGGGCGCAAGCGUUAUCCGGAUUUAUUGGGCGUAAAGGGCUCGUAGGCGGCUCGUCGCGUCCGGUGUGAAAGUCCAUCGCUUAACGGUGGAUCUGCGCCGGGUACGGGCGGGCUGGAGUGCGGUAGGGGAGACUGGAAUUCCCGGUGUAACGGUGGAAUGUGUAGAUAUCGGGAAGAACACCGAUGGCGAAGGCAGGUCUCUGGGCCGUCACUGACGCUGAGGAGCGAAAGCGUGGGGAGCGAACAGGAUUAGAUACCCUGGUAGUCCACGCC